rnacentral:rRNA from 1 species
UUUUAUGGAGAGUUUGAUCCUGGCUCAGGAUGAACGCUGGCGGCGUGCCUAAUACAUGCAAGUCGAGCGAACGGACGAGAAGCUUGCUUCUCUGAUGUUAGCGGCGGACGGGUGAGUAACACGUGGAUAACCUACCUAUAAGACUGGGAUAACUUCGGGAAACCGGAGCUAAUACCGGAUAAUAUUUUGAACCGCAUGGUUCAAAAGUGAAAGACGGUCUUGCUGUCACUUAUAGAUGGAUCCGCGCUGCAUUAGCUAGUUGGUAAGGUAACGGCUU